AAUAUUACAAAAAAAAAAAAAAUGUUGGUAUUAGAGUAGAUGAGAAGAUACGUGAGAGUUUCUUAUUGAGAGCAAUAUUUGUUUUUUAUUUGUAGUUUUCCAAAUAACUUCAACUUAUUCUUAGUAAAAGGUAGCCUUUUUAGUUUUGUGUUUCAAAUCAAGUCUGCUUAUAAAUUGGUAGAGAAAAGAGUAAAUGAACUAAAAAAUGGAUUGAGAAAUGAAACAGAAUGCUGGAAAUGAUUGUGUUGAUUCAGCACAAUAAUUACAGAACAAAUAUUACAAUCAAUGGAUAGUCCAGUUGCAAUGGCAGAUCAAGCAAACAGUAAAAUAAAUAAGAAAAGAAAAUAGAUAAUGGUUCGAAACCAGCCCCCAGGAUUGAUAUCCUGUAUAGAGAAAAUUCCCCUGCCCUCACAAAUUCUAUUAGCCAAAGAUACCCCAUUCCUUCUGCUCUUCUCCUUAAAUUCUGGAAUUGAUUCUUCUGGUAUAACCACCUCAGCCCACGUGUCCUCAUUUUUGUCUUUUGCAACAGGCCAUUCCAAUUGCAUAGCUUCCAGCACAAUUCCUCUUUCUUUGUUAUUUCAGCUUUGUAGCUACCAACAGAUGCACGAGUUGAACACACGACACUUAACCCUUUUUUCAGGUAGUAAAUUACAAGUUGGCUAGAUUAGCUUUACAUUUUAAAGCUCACUUACUAUUACAAAAAAAAAAAAAAAGCUGGUAUUAGAGUAGAU
rnacentral:misc_RNA from 1 species